GUAUACUUAAAGAUACAACAACAGAUUAAAUUCAGUCAGUCAGUCGCGUGUGCCUUGUUGUCUGCUGCUGAUAUGGCACAACCGAGGGGGACGUGAUGGCGCUGCCGCUGCUGCCCACUCAUGGCGCACUAGAAUCCCAUGUGAGGCCACAGAGACUCAGGGAUGGACCGAAGUCCUGCUCCUGUCCUGUUAACUGAUCUGACGGCACUGCCAGUGACCUUGUGUACCUCGACUGGCCAUUGGUCCGCCAUAGAGAAUUGCUAAAAACUAUGAAUGUUGUACCAAUGUCAAUGAGAUAUACAUGUGUCCAUUUCAGCAGCACUGACUGUGUUGUUUAUUUGGUUACAAUUUGGGUUUUGGUGAAGAGACAAGCCAUGAUAUACAGUUAGGGAAUUGAGUUUUAUGGGUUUGUGUGUUUGAAAAGUAUGUCAGUGUAUUAAAAGACUGCAGUUAAAAA